UCAAUAUGUUGAACAGUGUCGCUGCCGCAUUUAUUGUGAUAAUUGAAUUCAUAGCCGCAGUUAUUUUGCAUAUUGAGCGUCUCUGGGAAUUGGCGGCUUCGAUCUCUGUAGGUAACAAAAACAAUAAAAAAGUUGUGCAAAAUAUCAACAACAAAUUAUAAGAACUCAUAUUAUCAAAUGGUUGUGAAUAAAAAAUGCCAAAUUCAAAAAAACUGUAGAAGUAUCCAACAUUUUAAAGGAUUUGUAAAAUUCCUUUGUAAAUUAAGUUUCUAUACGAGGGUGGUCUCGUUCUCUGUGCGGUGCGAAUAGAGUUUGUGAUUAACACGGUAAUAUUUAGUGAUAAAUUAAUAAAUGCCACAAAUAAUAUUAAAUAUAUUUUGAUGAAGACGAUGUGGGUUUUUCUCAUCUAUGUGUGAAGCAGCUGGUUUUCUUCGCAUUCUGGAUUAAUGUUUUUGCGCAAUGGCUGGAGAUGUGUGUAUAAAUUUUGAUUUUAUCCAAUCUUCAGACAUGUAUUAAUGGGAUGUUAUUCCUUUUACCGAGGCUUAUUUGUCAAACUGUGUUAUAGGAAAAAGUGCGUGUUAAAAUGUUACAGCCGUAGGUCCUACCGAAAAUAGAGACAAAACUGUCCAUCAGCAUAGGAUGAGGAAUAUUGAUUUUACUAUUCCGUUUCUAAUGUUGAAAUAGCUUUCUAUAAUACAUCGCACAUAAUCUGUCAUCUGGAUUAGGCCAGAUAGAUCAUUAAGACCAAUCACCAUAUUUUAAACCUUAGGGCAACAGAAUUCUAAUAUGGAUGUUUGGAUAGAGUUUUCAUAAAGACCAAUGUACCGUUAUGAGUUCUUAACUGGCAUAAGACAAAAUAGGCUCUUCUGGUAAUCUGAACCUUCAUAUUAAAUACCGUUCAAAUCGACCAUAUUUGGAAAUACAGAAGUAGAUGCAAUAAAAUCGUAAACACGUUGUAAUUCGGACAAAUAAUUUGCAGAGAACUUACGGCCGCCAUUUCCAAAUUGGAUCAUAUUUGUUCACUGACGCCAAUCUUUCUAUUAAUAUUAUUAAACUUCUUGAGCUUAUUAGA
rnacentral:sRNA from 1 species